rnacentral:lncRNA from 1 species
AUUGCCAUUAUUAACAAGUCAGUCCCUGUAUUUUUAGAAACCUAUUAAAACGUCCUUAUAUUUUAUUUCCGUCAACAAAAUAGUCCUUCCGUCCUAUUUUCCGUUAAAAUUAGACAAAGGAAGAGAGAGAAAAUUUUUAAAAUCCAAUUUUACCCUCAAAUAAAACCAUUUAUUUAGUCCUUGUAUAUUAUAAUUAUUAACAAGUUAGUCCUUACAUUUUCAAAAAUCUAUUAAAAUAUUUUUAUCUUUUUUCAUAUCUAUUAAAACGUCCUUAUUAUUUUUUUCCAUCAAUGAAAUAGUCCCUAUCUUUUCUCACAUCUAUUAAAACAUCCUUAUCGUUUAUUU